rnacentral:lncRNA from 1 species
CUUUCAUCAGUUUGUCCCCCGUUUCUUCUCUAGCCUGAGCCUGACACACUAUUCUAGCUAGACAUGGGUGUGGCUCGUAACACCUAAUGACCAAACGGAUCUACGGCACCGUUGAAUCUCAAACUUUAACUGCCAAAACUAUUGUUUUUCAUUAUGUAGUCCCUUUUAAAUUACUAAACGUCAUUUUUUGGGCUGAGAUAUCCAGGAAAGCUUUCUCGGGGUUUGUGUGCACGUAUUUCAAAUCAUACGGACCUAAAAAUUAGAAGUCAUUCCAUAUUUAUUCCCCUAGAGCCUUCCAGAAAUUCCUAAACCGCUCCAGUUGGACCACGUUAUCAUUCUUGUUAGUUCUGAGUGAAUUACCUCAGUAUGAUCAUUCUUUCAUCAGUUUGUUCCCCGUUUCUUCUAUAGUCUGAGCCUAGCACACUACUCUAGCUAGACAUGGGUGUGGCUCGUAACACCUGAUGACCAAACAGAUCUACGACACCGUCAAAUCUCAAACUUUAACUGCCAAAACUAUUGUUUUUCAUCCUGUAGUCCCUUUUAGAAUUACUAAACGUCCUUUUUUGGGCUGAGAUUUCCAGGAACGCUUUCGCGGGGUUUGUGUGCACGUAUUUUAAACCAUACGGACCUAAAAAUUAGAAGUCAUUCCAUCUUUAUUCCCCUAGAGCCUAACACACUAUUAUAGCUAGACAUGGGUGUGGCUCGUAACACCUGAUGACCAAACGGAUCUACGGCACCAUCGAAUCUCAAACUUUAACUGCCAAAACUAUUGUAUUUCAUCAUGUAGUCCCUUUUAGAAUUAUUAAACGUCCUUUUUUUGGGCCGUGAUUUCCAUGAACGCUUUCUCGGGGUUUCUGUGCACGUAUUUCAAAUCAUACAGACCUAAAAAUUAGAAGGCAUUUCAUCUUUAUUCCCCUAGAGCCUUCCAGCAGUUCCUAAACCGCUCCAGUCGGACCAUGUUAUCAUUCUUGUUAGUUCUGAGUGAAUUCCCUCGAUAUGAUCAUUCUUUCAUCAGUUUGUUCCCCGUUUCUUCUCUAGUCUGAGCCUAGCUCACUAUUCUAGCUAGAUAUGGGUGUGGCUCAUAAUACCCGAUGACCAAACGGAUCUACGGCACCAUCGAAUCUCAAACUUUAGCUGCCAAAACUAUUGUUUUUCAUCCUGUAGUCCCUUUUAGAAUUACUAAACGUCCUUUUUUGGGCCGGGAUUUCCAGGAGCGCUUUCUCGGGGUUUGUGUGCACGUAUUUCAAACCAAGCGUUCCUAAAAAUUAGAAGUCAUUUGAUCUUUAUUCCCCUAGAGCCUUCCAGCAGUUCCUAAACCGCUCCAGUCGGCGCACGUUAUCAUUCUUGUUAGUUCUGAGCGAAUUCCCUCGGUAUGAUCAUUCUUUCAUCAGUUUGUUCCUCGUUUCUUCUCUAGUCUGAGCCUAGCACACUAUUCUAGCUAGACAUGGGUGUGGGUCAUAACACCUGAUGACCAAACCGAUCUACGGCACCAUCGAAUCUCAAACUUUAACUACCAAAACUAUUGUUUUUCAUCCUGUAGUCCCUUUUAGAAUUACCAAACGUCCUUUUUUGGGCCGAGAAUUCCAAGAAUGCUUUCUCGGGGUUUGUGUGCACAUAUUUCAAACCAAACAUUCCUAAAAAUUAGAAAUCAUUCCAUCUUUAUUCCCCAAGAGCCUUCCAGCAGUUCCUAAACAGCUCCACUCAGAGCACGUUGUCAUUCUUGUUAGUUCUGAGCGAAUUCCCUCGGUAUGAUCAUUCUUUCAUCAGUUUGUUCCCUGUUUCUUCUCUAGUCUGAGCCUCGCACACUAUUCUAGCUAUUAAUGGGUGUGGAUCGUAACUCCUGAUGACCAAACGGAUCUACGGCACCGUCGAAUCUCAAACUUUAACUGCCAAAACUACUGUUUUUCAUUCUGUAGUCCCUCUUAAAUUACUAAACGUCAUUUUUUGGGCUGAGAUAUCCAGGAACGCUUUCUCGGGGUUUGUGUGCACGUAUUUCAAAUCAUACGGACCUAAAAAUUAGAAGUCAUUCCAUCUUUAUUCCCCUAGAGCCUUCCAGCAGUUCCUAAACCACUCCAGUCGGAGCACGUUAUCAUUAUUGUUAGUUCCGAGUGAAUUCCCUUGGCAUGAUCUUUCUUUCAUCAGUUUGUUCCCCGUUUCUUCUCUAGUGUUAGCCUAUCACACUAUUCUAGCUAGACAUGGGUGUGGCUCGUAACACCUGAUGACCAAACGGAUCUACGGCACCGUCGAAUUUCAAACUUUAACUGCCAAAACUAUUGUUUUUCCUCCUGUAGUCCCUUUUAGAAUUACUAAAUGUCCUUUUUUGGGCCGAGAUUUCCAGGAAUGCUUUCUCGGGGUUUGUGUGCAUGUAUUUCAAACCAUACGGACCUAAAAAUUAGGUCAUUCCAUAUUUAUUCCCCUAGAGCCUUCCAGCAGUUCCUAAACAUCUCCAGUCGGAGCACGUUAUCAUUCUUGUUUGUUCUGAGCGAAUUCCCUCAGUAUGAUCAUUCUUUCAUCAUUUUGUGCCCUGUUUCUUCUCUAGUCUGAGCAUAGCACACUAUUCUAGCUAGACAUGGGUGUGGCUCGUAACACCUGAUGACCAAACGGAUGUACGACACCGUCGAAUCUCAAACUUUAACUGCCAAAACUAUUGUUUUUCAUCCUGUAGUCCCUUUUAAAUUUACUAAAUGUCCUUUUUGGGCUGAGAUUUCCAGGAACGCUUUCGUGCGGUUUGUGUGCAAGUAUUUCUAAUCAUACGGACCUAUAAAUUAGAAGUCAUUCCAUCUUUAUUCCCCUAGAGCCUUCGAGCAGUUCCUAAACCGCGCCAGCCGGAGCAUGUUAUCAUUCUUGUUAGUUCUGAGUGAAUUCCCUCGGUAUGAUCAUUCUUUCAUCAGUUUGUUCCCCGUUUCUUCUCUAGUCUGAGCCUAGCACACUACUCUAGCUAGACAUGGGUUUGGCUCGUAACACCUGAUAACCAAACAGGUCUACGACUCCAUCGAAUCUCAAACUUUUUUGGGCCGAGAUUUCCAGGAACGCUUUCUCGGGGUUUGUGUGCACGUAUUUCAAAUCAUGCGGACCUAAAAAUUAGAAGUCAUUCCAUAUUUAUUACCCUAGAGCCUUCCAGCAGUUCCUAAACCGCUCCAGUCGGAGCAUGUUAUCAUUCUCUUUAGUUCUCAGGGAAUUCCCUCGGUAUGAUCAUUCUUUCAUCAGUUUAUUCCCUGUUUUUUCUCUAGCAUGAGCCUAACACACUAUUCUAGCUACACAUGGGUGUGGCUCGUAACACCUGAUGACCAAACGGAUCUACGGCACCGUCGAAUCUCAAACUUUAACUGCCAAAACUAUUGUUUUCGUCCUGUAGUCCCUUUUAGAAUUACUAAACGUCCUUUUUUGGGCCGAGAUUUCCAGGAACGCUUUCUCGGGGUUUGUGUGCACGUAUUUCAAAUCAUACGGACCUAAAAAUUAGAAGUCAUUCCAUCUUUAUUCCCCUAGAGCCUUCCAGCAGUUCCUAAACAGCUCUAGUCGGAGCAAGUUAUCAUUCUUGUUAGUUCUGAGCGAAUUCCCUCGGUAUGAUCAUUCUUUCAUUAGUUUGUUCUGCGUUUCUUCUCUAGUCUGAGCCUAGCACACUAUUCUAGCUAUUAAUGGGUGUGGAUCGUAACACCUAAUGACCAACGGAUCUACGGCACCAUCGAAUCUCAAACUUUAACUGCCAAAACUAUUAUUUUUCAUCCUGUAGUCCCUUUAAAAAUUAUUAAAUGUCAUUUUUUGGGCCGAGAUUUCCAGGAACGCUUUCUCGGGGUUUGUGUGCAUGUAUUUCAAGUCAUACGGACCUAAAAAUUAGAAUCCAUUCCAUCUUUAUUCCCCUAGAGCCUUGCAGCAGUUCCUAAACCGCUCCAGUCGGAGCACGUUAUCAUUAUUGUUAGUUCUGAGUGAAUUCCCUCGGUAUGAUUAUUCUUUCAUCAGUUUGUUCCCCAUUUCUUCUCUAGUCUGAGCCUAACACACUAUUCUAGCUAGACAUGGGUGUGGCUCGUAAUACCUGAUGACCAAACGGAUCUACAGCACCGUCGAAUCUCAAACUUUAACUACGAAAACUAUUGUUUUUCAUUCUAUAGUCCCUUUCAGAAUUACUAAACGUCCUUUUUUGGGCCGAGAUUUCCAGGAACGCUUUCUCGGGGUUUGAGUGCGCGUAUCUAACAAUACAGACCUAAAGAUUAGAAUUCAUUCCAUCUUUAUUCCCCUAGAGCCUUCCAGCAGUUCCUAAACUGCUCCAGUCGGAGCACGUUAUCAUUCUUGUUAGUUCUCAGGGAAUUCCCUCGGUAUGAUCAUUCUUUCAUCAGUUUGUUCCCCGUUUCUUCUCUAGCAUGAGCCAAACACACUAUUCUAGCUACACAUGGGUGUGCCUCGUAACACCUGAUGACCAAACGGAUCUACGGCACCGUCGAAUCUCAAACUUUAACUGCCAAAAUUAUUGUUUUUCAUCUUGUAGUCCCUUGUAGAAUUACUAAACGUCCUUUUUUGGGCCGAGAUUUCGAGAAACACUUUGUCAGGGUUUGUUUGCACGUAUUUCAAACCAUACGGACCUAAAAAUUAGAAGUCAUUCCAUCUUUGUUCCCCUAGAGCCUUCCAGCAGUUCCUAAACCGCUCCAGUCGGAGCAUGUUAUCAUUCUUGUUAGUUCUGAGCAAAUUCCCUCGGUAAGAUCAUUCUUUCAUCAGUUUGUUCCCUGUUUCUUCUCUAGCCUGAGCCUGACACACUAUUCUAGCUAGACAUGGGCGUGGCUCGUGACACCUGAUGACCAAACGGAUCUACGGCACCGUCGAAUCUCAAACUUUAACUACCAAAACUAUUGUUUUUCAUUCUGUAGUCCCUUUUAAAUUACUAAACGUCAUUUUUUCGGCCGAGAUUUCCAGGAACGCUUUCUUGUGGUUUGUGUGCAUGUAUUUCAAAUCAUACGGACCUAAAAAUUGGAAUCCAUUCCAUCUUUAUUCCCCUAGAGCCUUCCAGCAGUUCCUAAUCCGCUCCAGUCGGAGCACGUUAUCAUUGUUGUUAGUUCUGAGUGAAUUCCCUCGGUAUGAUCAUUCUUUCAUCAGUUUGUUCCCUGUUUCUUCUCUAGUCUGAGCCUAACACACUAUUCUAGCUAGACAUGGGUGUGGCUCGUAACACCCGAUGACCAAACGGAUCUACGGCACCGUCGAAUCUCAAACUUUAACUGCGAAAACUAUUGUUUUUCAUCCUGUAGUCCUUUUUAGAAUUACUAAACGUCCUUUUUUGGGACGAGAUUUCCAGGAACGCUUUCUCGGGGUUUGUGUGCGCGUAUUUCAAACCAUACGAACCUUAAAAUUAGAAUUCAUUCCAUCUUUAUUCCCCUAGAGCCUUCCAGCAGUUCCUAAACCGCUCCAGUCGGAGCACGUUAUCAUUCUUGUUAGUUCUGAGCAAAUUCCCUCGGUAUGAUCAUUCUUUCAUCAGUUUGUUCCCCGUUUCUUCUCUAGUCUGAGCCUAGCACACUAUUCUAGCUAUUAGUGGGUGUGGAUCGUAACACCUAAUGACCAAACGGAUCUAUGGCACCAUCGAAUCUCAAACUUUAACUGCCAAAACUAUUGUUUUUCAUCCUGUAGUCCCUUUUACAAUUAUUAAACGUCCUUUUUUGGGCCGAGAUUUCCAGGAACGCUUUC